GAACCCGUGGCUCAAUGGUAGAGCGUUUGACUCAAAUACCAAAGGUCGCGGGUU
rnacentral:tRNA from 1 species